rnacentral:lncRNA from 1 species
AAAAAAAAAGGAAAAAAGAAAGGGGGGUGGAGAGAGGGAAGAUGGAUGGGGGUGGGGUCGGGUGGCGGUGUUUCUAUUAUGUUUAAUGUAUGUAGAGUUUGGUGUCAGCGUUGCUUGUGUUGUUCACUUGUGUUCCUUUCGUGGUGAGAGAGGUUGGGGUUGGCCUAGGGUGUGAUUGUCUGCUUGUGAUUGGCUGUGGUGAUCUUUGUUUUCGUGUGUGAGUGAGGUGGGUGGGUGUUUUGGAUCAGGUUAGCCAUAUUGAUUUGUAUGCUGUUGGUGGAUUAUUGUCAUUGUCCUGUUGGGCUGUGUAUGUGAUAAAGGGGAGCCAUACCAGGGUGAAGACGUCUUCUUCUGUUUGUCCCCGUGUCAGUUUCAGUUUAUUAGUUAAUUUUUCUAGUAGGGCUGUUUCCCAUACUAUUUGGUACCAUUGGUCCAUGUUUACUCCUGACAGGUCUCUCCAGUGUCUGGUUAUGGUGUUUCUGGCUGCUGAAAGUAGGUGGGUUAUGAGUUCUUUGUGGUGUAAAUGGGCAUUGUUGUCUUGGAAGAUGUUUAGUAGGGCCAAUUCUGGGGUGAUGUCUAUUACUUGCUUAGUUAUUUUACAUAUUUCUUGUAUGGCUGUUGUCCAGAAUAGUUGGAUUUUGGGACACUCCCACCACAUGUGGAGGUAUGUGCCUGUGGAGGUGCACCCUCUCCAGCAUUUUGGUGAGGUUCCUGGGUGUAUUAGCGCUAGUUUCCUUGGUGUUAGGUACCACCUGUAGGUGAGUUUCAGUGUGAGUUCUUUUCUUUUCGUUGAUAUGGAUUUAAAGGGGGGUUUAGACCACAUUCUGGUCCAUUGAGUGGGGUUAAUCUCAUAGCCUAUGUCAUUCUCCCAUUGUUUUUUGAUUGCAUCUAGGGGAUUUGCGGGAUUUUGGAGUAGUAUUUUGUAUAUUGCGGAUACCGUCCCUUUACCGUUUCCUUUUGUUGUUAGGAGGAGGUUUUCGAAGGUUGUCAGGGGCCUAGUUGCUGCUGAUUUUACUGUUGGGUUGUUUAAGAGGGCAUGUAGUUGGUGUUGUGUUAACCAGGGCAUUUGGGUGUCUUCUAGUUUGUCUUGUAUUUCUUGUGUUGACAAGGGUUUGUUAUUUUUAUAAAAGUCUAUUAGGCGAUAUAAGCCUUUGGUUUGCCAGGUUUUUAUCUGGAGGUUUUGUGCUGCAUGGUGGAAUAAUGGGUGAGUACGCCAGGGGGAUUAGUGGGGAUGGGGUUGGGGAUAGUUUGCCUAUUUGUGUUUUCCAUGCUUUGAGCAUGGUCUGUGUGUACCUGUUAAGUGUUGUGGGAAUUUUCUUUAGUUUGUUUGGGAGGAAUGGGUAUGUUGUGGUGCAGGUAUUUUCAAUUGUGUCCCUCUCUAGGUGUACCCAUUGUUUUGUCUCAUCUUCUAGUAUAUAUGGGAUUAUAUGGCGUAUUUGGUUGGCAUUGUAAUAUGCUUCUAUGUUGGGGAUUCCCCAUCCUCCUUCUGAGGUGGGGAGGUGCAGGUAUUUGAGGCUUAUUCUUGGUUUUUAUGUGAGAAGAUGAAAGAGUGUAGUUUUCUCUGCCAACUGCGAAGUUGGGUUGAGGGAUCCAGAUUGGGAGGGUUUGGAAUAGGUAGGUUAGUUUUGGGAGUGUGAUCAUUUUGAUCAUGGCUAUUUUGUCUGAGAGAGUGAAAUUCAUGUUAUUCCAUCUCUUUAGGUCUUUGUUAAUUUGUCGCCACAGGGGCUUGUAGUUGUGGAGGUACAAUUUGUUGAGGUUUCUGGUUAUUUGUACCCCUAGGUAUCUGAACUUGGUGUGGCAAAGUUUUAUUUUGGUGACCUUCGUGAGUUCUUUUUGGGUGUGAGGAGGGGUGUUGAAGCACAUAGCUUCUGACUUUGUAAAAUUUACCUGUAGGCCCGACACCAUUGCAAAUGUGUUGAGUUCUCUGAUUAGGGAGGUUGCUGUGCUUAUGGGGUCUGGUGUUGUGACCAUUAGGUCAUCUGCAAAGAGCCCUAAUUUAUAGGUUCUGCCUUUUAUUUCCACUCCCUUGAUGUCUGUGGCUGCUCGGAUGCUGAUUGCUAAGGGUUCCAGAGCCAGGAUAAAUAAGAAGGGAGACAGUGGGCAUCCUUGUUUCGUGCCUCUUUGGAUAGCUAUAGUAUUAGAAUCCAUAUUGUUAGUUCUGCAUUUUGCUGAGGCUUGGGAGUAUAUUUGUUUGAGAAUUUGUAGGAAGUUGGGGCCAAAUUUCAUGUUAGUUAGUACUGCUAAUAUGUAUUUCCACUCUAAGCAAUCAAAGGCUUUGAGGAUGUCUAGGGACAUAAUUGUCAAUGGGAGUUUGGUUGCCUUGCUGUGUUCGAUCAGGUUCAGUAGUUUCCUGAUGGGGUCUGUUAUAUUGCGGCCAGGGACAAAGCCAGUCUGGUCUGGGGCUACUAACUUGUGUAGGAAGGUUUUUAGGCGGUUGGCCAAGAUUGAUGUGAAUAUCUUGUAGUCUUGGUUUAUUAAUGAGAUUGGGCGGUAUGAUUCUACUUUGAGGCUGUCUUUUAGUGGUUUUGGGAUGGAGACUAUUUUGGAGUGGGUCCAGGUUUUGGGGAUGGGGCCCCCUUUUAUGAUGUCGUUGAAUAGGCGGGUCAUGUAGGGCAUCAAGGGUUCUUUGAAUUUCCUAUAGAAUUCUGCUGUGAAGCCGUCUGGGCCUGGGGCUUUGUGUGGUUUCAGGUUUUUGAGGACCGCAUCUAUUUCCUCUGGGGUGAUAGGGCUGUCCAUGAAUUCCUGUUCCUCAUCAGUUAGGGUAGGCAUGGACAGUCCUGCUAGAAAUUUUUGAUUUCCUUCUCUGGUGGGUUAUGGGAGGUGUAUAGGUUGGAGUAGAAUUCUGCAAAUUCUGAGUUUAUUUCUUCGGGG